AUUGAACGCUGGCGGAAUGCUUUACACAUGCAAGUCGAACGGCAGCACGGACUUCGGUCUGGUGGCGAGUGGCGAACGGGUGAGUAAUGUAUCGGAACGUGCCCAGUCGUGGGGGAUAACGUAGUGAAAAUUACGCUAAUACCGCAUACGAUCUAUGGAUGAAAGCGGGGGAUCGCAAGACCUCGCGCGAUUGGAGCGGCCGAUAUCAGAUUAGGUAUUUGGUGGGGUAAAGGCCCACCAAGCCAACGAUCUGUAGCUGGUCUGAGAGGACGACCAGCCACACUGGAACUGAGACACGGUCCAGACUCCUACGGGAGGCAGCAGUGGGGAAUUUUGGACAAUGGGCGAAAGCCUGAUCCAGCCAUUCCGCGUGCAGGAUGAAGGCCCUCGGGUUGUAAACUGCUUUUGUACAGAACGAAAAGGUUUCUACUAAUACUAGGAGCUCAUGACGGUGCUGUAAGAAUAAGCACCGGCUAACUACGUGCCAGCCGCCGCAGUAA
rnacentral:rRNA from 1 species